AUUUAUGUUUUAUUUGGAUGAUGAACGGAUGUUUUUUGGGGCAUUUCUGUGGAUAUUCAACAUAUUUCAUGCGGGGAAUCGUCGGUUGUAUCUGGCAACCAGCUAGAGUCAGGAACAAAGCAGUGAAAUGGAGGACGGACAGAGCUGGAUGAUGACUACCGUUAAACUAGAAGAAGAAGAGGAAAAGGAACAAAUAUUAUGGAGGGAAGUGAAGCUGAGUAUGAGUAAGACGGACAGUGAUGAUGAUGAUGAUGAUGAAGGCUGCAGGAGGAAAGCUGUGCUGGAGGAGCUUCGUCAUCCCGACCAUGUGUGGGACGGAAUGUUUGCUCCAAAGAUGGAGAAAAGCGGAGAAGAAGAAACGGAGGAGUUUUCAGAUGUGUGCUCUGUGAAGGAAGAGCAAUGCAUGUCUAAACGUUUUGAUGGAUCACAACAAGCUUUGGAUCUGAACAGUAUUCACACAGACACAGUGAUGCGUUUCCAUCUGCUGAAGCACACACGACUGAAUGUGGUGACGUUCCUCAACGAGCUGCCAUAAACCCAGCAUGACAUCAUCUCUUUCACCGUGGACGUAAACGCCUACACAAAUA
ensembl:lncRNA